rnacentral:rRNA from 1 species
GAGUUUGAUUGUGGCUCAGAACGAACGCUGGCGGCAUGCCUAACACAUGCAAGUCGAACGGGAUCCUGGCUUCGGUCAGGUGAGAGUGGCGGACGGGUGAGUAACGCGUGGGAACCUGCCCAGUGGUGGGGGAUAACUGCGGGAAACUGCAGCUAAUACCGCAUGAGCCCGAGAGGGGAAAGAUUUAUCGCCAUUGGAGGGGCCCGCGUUCGAUUAGGUAGUUGGUGAGGUAACGGCUCACCAAGCCGACGAUCGAUAGCUGGUCUGAGAGGAUGAUCAGCCACACUGGGACUGAGAUACGGCCCAGACUCCUACGGGAGGCAGCAGUGGGGAAUAUUGGACAAUGGGGGCAACCCUGAUCCAGCAAUGCCGCGUGAGUGAUGAAGGCCUUCGGUUGUAAG